rnacentral:siRNA from 1 species
AAACAACAACUUGGUGGGAUAUUG